rnacentral:rRNA from 1 species
AANNAANGGNCCUUNNGGGUUGUAAAAGUNCCCUUCAGCCAGUGAGGAAAGGUGGGGGGUAUUUUAAUAGCAUAUUCAUUUGCCGUUACUGCAGAAGAAGCCCCGGCCUAACUCCGUGCCAGCAGCCGCGGUAAUACGGAGGGUGCGAGCGUUAAUCGGAAUUACUGGGCGUAAAGCGCAUGCAGGUGGUUUUGUUAAGUCAGAUGUGAAAGCCCGGGGGCUCAACCUCGGAAUUGCAUUUGAAACUGGCAAACUAGAGUACUGUAGAGGGGGGGUAGAAUUUCAGGUGUAGCGGUGAAAUGCGUAGAGAUCUGAAGGAAUACCGGUGGCGAAGGCGGCCCCCUGGACAGAUACUGACACUCAGAUGCGAAAGCGUGGGGAGCAAACAGGAUUAGAUACCCUGGUAGUCCACGCCGUAAACGAUGUCUACUUGGAGGUUGUGGCCUUGAGCCGUGGCUUUCGGAGCUAACGCGUUAAGUAGACCGCCUGGGGAGUACGGUCGCAAGAUUAAAACUCAAAUGAAUUGACGGGGGCCCGCACAAGCGGUGGAGCAUGUGGUUUAAUUCGAUGCAACGCGAAGAACCUUACCUACUCUUGACAUCUACAGAAGCCAGCGGAGACGCAGGUGUGCCUUCGGGAACUGUAAGACAGGUGCUGCAUGGCUGUCGUCAGCUCGUGUUGUGAAAUGUUGGGUUAAGUCCCGCAACGAGCGCAACCCUUAUCCUUGUUUGCCAGCACUUCGGGUGGGAACUCCAGGGAGACUGCCGGUGAUAAACCGGAGGAAGGUGGGGACGACGUCAAGUCAUCAUGGCCCUUACGAGUAGGGCUACACACGUGCUACAAUGGCGCAUACAGAGGGCGGCCAACUUGCGAAAGUGAGCGAAUCCCAAAAAGUGCGUCGUAGUCCGGAUUGGAGUCUGCAACUCGACUCCAUGAAGUCGGAAUCGCUAGUAAUCGUGGAUCAGAAUGCCACGGUGAAUACGUUCCCGGGCCUUGUACACACCGCCCGUCACACCAUGGGAGUGGGCUGCAAAAGAAGUGGGUAGUUUAACCUUCGGGAGGACGCUCACCACUUUGUGGUUCAUGACUGGGGUGAAGUCGUAACAAGGUAACCG